CCCAGACUACUGCACCUAGGGAUGAGGUUUGUGUUAUUUCGAUUAAUCGAACGAUCGAAGCUCCAGACAGUGGCAAUGCGAAGUGUACGCCUAUUCCUAACGUGAUGAUAGAGUCGAGAUCGCAGUAAUCACUCUACCGAUAUAGUCUACGAUGUUGCGGAUUCAAACGGUUUGAAGAAUUUUACAUCACCGAAGGAUCUAGCCACAUGAUGUGACAGUUAUACGAAAAACACAGUUUCUAAUCCGUACUUCCAAAUGAUUUGAUAAUGGCGUCGAGCACGAAGCUGCUGAUGUUUACUCUGGCUGUCAUGGUUAUGUUAUCCAUUUGGUGUAACUGCGCACGCGCGGAAGAGGACGAUGAAGAGGAAUUCGGUACAUUGGGUGAAGAUGAAAUGGCCAAAAGAGCCUUAAAGGAUGACCACACAUGGAUUGAAAGGGUCCGCCAGCGGAAUCUCGAAUCGCUCGGAACUUACUGUGACGAAAACAAGAAGUGCCUAACAAAAUUCUGUAACCUGAAACAAAAACAGUGCUGCGCCCCCCACGGGUAUCUCUGCAAUAAUGACACGGAUUGUUGCAGCGAUGGGAUGGUUUGCACAGGUUCUUUCACCAACGUCUGCAGGGCCCCCUAGGGGUGCACUUAGCCAAUUCAACACGCUCAGUUCGAAACAUUGUCGUCCAAGCACCGCCCUGGACACCGCGUGGUUGCUCGCAGACAACUAGGGAAAUUUCGUGUGAUUGCAAUCGGAACAUAGAAUGGCAGUAGUCGUUUGGACAUAACAUUGGAAACUGGCGGAAAUACUCUUACGUUAAAAUUCAUAAUUUUGCAAUAGAAACGCCAUGGGAACUACGUGUUUGUUGUGGACACGCCAGGAACUUACGUGAUUGCCGUGUACACGCCAUGGAAAUGACGUGAUUGCAGUGAAACGCCGAGAAAAUCACGUGGUUGCUUAUCUGUCUCAAUAACAAAGUGACGUGUCGUAGCAUGUUAGGAUAGUAAACGUAUCACCAUCGCAGAUACCACUAAACGUGUCAUAGAAUACUUCUGUAAUAACACCAUGUUAUUUGUUCAUUUCUUGAGAUGACUUCUUUGGAGUUGCAGAAUUUGACACCUGAUUCCAACGGGACAAAGUGACGAGGAAUCCUCCCCAGGUCUGCUCAUGAUUGGUUAACGUGAGAGAUAUUAAACAAGAAAUACAUAGUGCCCUGCUUUAUUCUGAUGCCGUUUACCUAUUAUCCAAAAAAAGACACAAUGGAUUGUAUGAGACCAAUCACAGCGCCACUCUGUGGACAAGCAUGCUGCAUUGUAAGACACCUCAAGGCGUUGAUUGCAAUCCAUCUAUGGAGAAAGUGAAAAGCACACUUCAUUUACCACGCUCCCGGAGAAUCGAGCAGGGCGCCGUCUCGCAGCGAGAAAUAAAACCAAGUAACACUGACAGAUGGGGACCAGAUAUACAUGUAUAGUGCAUAGAUUCGUAUCGUAUGAUACAGCAGGGGUUUAUAUGUUUAUAUAUAGAAUUUGUAGUUAUGUGAGGUAUAUUUUGUGAUCAUAAUAUAAUAUAGUAAUGUAGCAG